rnacentral:rRNA from 1 species
UACAGAGGUCUCAAGCGUUGUUCGGAUUCAUUGGGCGUAAAGGGUGCGUAGGCGGCGCGGUAAGUCGGGUGUGAAAUCUCGGAGCUUAACUCCGAAACUGCAUUCGAUACUGCCGUGCUUGAGGACUGGAGAGGAGACUGGAAUUUACGGUGUAGCGGUGAAAUGCGUAGAUAUCGUAAGGAAGACCAGUGGCGAAGGCGGGUCUCUGGACAGUUCCUGACGCUGAUGCGCGAAAGCGUGGGGAGCAAACGGG